GGAGAAGUGACUGAGAGGCUUAUAGUAUCUUCCUGCUAAGAAGACACGGUUUAAAACCCGUCGGGGGUUCAAAUCCCCCCUUCUCCG
rnacentral:tRNA from 1 species